rnacentral:rRNA from 1 species
AAAACAAUCGGCCUAAAAAACUGAUUAAAACAACUUUUAACAACGGAUCUCUAGGCUCUCGCAUCGAUGAAGAACGUAGCAAAUUGCGAUAACUAUUGUGAAUUGCAUUUCGUGAAUCAUCAAGUUUUUGAACGCAUCUUGCGCUCUUUGG